GUCCCAUUCGGAUUGCAGUCUGCAACUCGACUGCAUGAAGCCGGAAUCGCUAGUAAUCGCGGAUCAGAAUGCCGCGGUGAAUACGUUCCCGGGUCUUGUACACACCGCCCGUCACACCAUGGGAGUCGGAAAUGCCCGAAGCCGGUGGCCUAACCGAUAAGGGAGGAGCCGUCGAAGGCAGGUCUGAUGACUGGGGUGAAGUCGUAACAAGGUACC
rnacentral:rRNA from 1 species